GAAAUAACUAAAACUGUGAAGUGACAAAUGAUCUGAUACAAGAAUAAGAAAAUUCAUUUAUACCAUGCACCAUCACUAUCUGAUUCUAUACUGGUACACAAAAUUGACAUUGUAAAUACUUUUCACCAACCACUGCACGAUAGUCGUAAAAUCAUAUACCCAAGUUUUAUACCAUGGGUGCACAGACAAGUAACCAGACACUUUGAUCCUCAGAACUAGACAGGAACAUCAGUUGUUUCUGAAAGUUCAGGAUCAUUAUCACUCUUUCAUUCACCUGAACCCGGAGGGAGCAGCUUGAGCACCUGGUCUCGACAUUCUAGAUUGGAUGAGCAUCUCUUCAUAGUUCCGUUUGUCAAAUGCAUCGUCACUUGAACUAAUUAUCUUAUCUGCAAGGCCAUAGUCAAUGGCCUCUUGCGCCCUGAAAUAUUUAGGCCGUAGGAUAUCUUUCUUUAUUUCUUCCUUUGGUUUUCCAAUUCCUUCUGAUAAUAGCUCAAGGUAAUACUCUGAGUUUGAUUCUAGUUCUUUGGCCUUUAUCCACAACUCUGUCGGUGAUCCACUGGAUUUGCUGACCUUGGGUAAAUACAAUUUGGUAGAUGAAUUUGGCUGCACAGCACGGAACCCUUUCUUUCCUUGUGACAGAAGCAUUGCUGCUUGACCAAAAGCCAUGCCACAGUUUACCGUAUAUACAUCUGAUUUGCAGUAUCUUAUCAUGUCAGCAAUGGCAUAUGCCUCUGUU
rnacentral:misc_RNA from 1 species